GACGAACGCUGGCGGCGUGCUUAACACAUGCAAGUCGAACGAUGAAGCUAGAGCUUGCUCUGGUGGAUUAGUGGCGAACGGGUGAGUAACACGUGAGUAACCUGCCCCGAACUCUGGGAUAACUGCUGGAAACGGUAGCUAAUACCGGAUAUGACCAAUGAAGGCAUCUUCUGUAGGUGGAAAGAAUUUCGGUUCGGGAUGGACUCGCGGCCUAUCAGCUUGUUGGUGAGGUAACGGCUCACCAAGGCGACGACGGGUAGCCGGCCUGAGAGGGUGAUCGGCCACACUGGGACUGAGACACGGCCCAGACUCCUACGGGAGGCAGCAGUGGGGAAUAUUGCACAAUGGGCGCAAGCCUGAUGCAGCAACGCCGCGUGAGGGACGACGGCCUUCGGGCUGUAAACCUCUUUUAGUAGGGAAGAAGCGAAAGUGACGGUACCUGCAGAAAAAGCACCGGCUAACUACGUGCCAGCAGCCGCAGUAA
rnacentral:rRNA from 1 species